GAAGAACCCCGGGGGGGGGUCCCUAAAACAUGCAAGUGGAGGGGGGCGAAUCAGAAAGCUUUUUUUUUUUUUCUUUAGGGGCGGGAAGGGGUAGAAUAACACGGGGACAAACCUGCCCUUGAGGGGGGGGAUAACCCCCGAGAAAUCGGGUGCUAAUUCCCGGAUAACAAAAAAAUUUCGCAUGACUUUUUUUUUAAAAAGCCGGCACAAGUUGUCGCCUACGGGAGGGGCCCCGCGGCGCAUUAGCUUGGUUGGGGGAGGUAACGGGCUCCCCAAAGGCGACGAUGUGUAGCCGCCCCUAAGAGGGGUGAUCGGCCACCCUGGGACAGAGACCGGCCCAGACCCCUACGAAGGCAGCAGUAGGUCUCUUCCGCAAUGGACGAAAGUCUACAAGCAACCCCGCGUGAGCGAAAAACCCUCGUGUCGUAAAGCCUGUUGAUAGGAAAGAAAAGUAACGCAGAACUGGCUUACGUAACGGUACAUAACGAGAAACCACGGCUAUCUACGUGCCAGCAGCCGCGGUAAUACGUAGGUGGCAAGUGUUGUCCGGAAUUAUUGGGCGAAAACGCGCGCACGCGGUUCCUUAAGUCUUAUGUGAGACCCACGGCUCCCCCGUGGAGGGUCAUUAGAAACUGGGGGACUUGAGUGCAGAAGAGGAGAGCGGAAUUCCACGUGUAGCGGUGAAAUGCGUAGAGAUGUCAAGGAACACCAAUGGCGAAGGCGGCCCUCUGGUCUGUCACUGACGCUGAGGCGCGAAAGCGUGGGGAGCAAACAGG
rnacentral:rRNA from 1 species